rnacentral:rRNA from 1 species
AGUGAACGCUGGCGGUAGGCCUAACACAUGCAAGUCGAACGGCAGCACAGUAAGAGCUUGCUCUUACGGGUGGCGAGUGGCGGACGGGUGAGGAAUACAUCGGAAUCUACUUUUUCGUGGGGGAUAACGUAGGGAAACUUACGCUAAUACCGCAUACGACCUACGGGUGAAAGCAGGGGAUCUUCGGACCUUGCGCGAUUGAAUGAGCCGAUGUCGGAUUAGCUAGUUGGCGGGGUAAAGGCCCACCAAGGCGACGAUCCGUAGCUGGUCUGAGAGGAUGGUCAGCCACCCUGGAACUGGGACACGGUCCAGACUCCUACGGGAGGCAGCAGUGGGGAAUAUUGGACAAUGGGCGCAAGCCUGAUCCAGCCAUACCGCGUGGGUGAAGAAGGCCUUCGGGUUGUAAAGCCCUUUUGUUGGGAAAGAAAAGCAGCAGGUUAAUACCCCGCUGUUCUGACGGUACCCAAAGAAUAAGCACCGGCUAACUUCGUG